CUUGUACUCCCUCCGUCCGGAAAUACUUGUCAUUGAAAUGGAUGUAUCUAGAUGCAUUUUAGUUGUAGAUACAUUCAUUUUCAUCCAUUUUGAUGACAAGUAUUUCCGGACGGAGGGAGUAUCAU
rnacentral:pre_miRNA from 1 species